rnacentral:rRNA from 1 species
CUUUCAACAACGGAUCUCUUGGUUCUGGCAUCGAUGAAGAACGCAGCGAAAUGCGAUAAGUAAUGUGAAUUGCAGAAUUCAGUGAAUCAUCGAAUCUUUGAACGCACAUUGCGCCCUCUGGUAUUCCGGGGGGCAUGCCUGUUCGAGCGUCGUU